UGAACGCUAGCUACAGGCUUAACACAUGCAAGUCGAGGGGCAGCAGAUCGAAAGCUUGCUUUGAUGCUGGCGACCGGCGCACGGGUGAGUAACACGUAUCCAACCUUCCCUGUAGUAGAGAAUAGCCCGGCGAAAUCGGGAUUAAUGCUCUAUGUUGUAUUUUCGAUGACAUCUGAAGAAUACCAAAGGUUUACCGCUAUAGGAUGGGGAUGCGUCUGAUUAGGUUGUUGGCGGGGUAACGGCCCACCAAGCCCACGAUCAGUAGGGGUUCUGAGAGGAAGGUCCCCCACAUUGGAACUGAGACACGGUCCAAACUCCUACGGGAGGCAGCAGUGAGGAAUAUUGGUCAAUGGACGGAAGUCUGAACCAGCCCAAGUAGCGUGCAGGAUGACGGCCCUAUGGGUUGUAAACCGCUUUUAUAUAGGGAUAAAGUCGGGGACGUGUCCCCGUUUGUAGGUACUAUAAUGAGUAAGGACCGGCUAAUUCCGUGCCAGCCGCCGC
rnacentral:rRNA from 1 species